GACGAACGCUGGAGGCGUGCUUAACACAUGCAAGUCGAACGAUGAAGUGGAGCUUGCUCCACGGAUUAGUGGCGAACGGGUGAGUAACACGUGAAUAACCUGCCCUCAAUUUCGGAAUAACCCAGGGAAACCUGGGCUAAUACCGGAUACGUAAACCUGUGGCAUCACAUGGUUUUGGAAAGUUUUUCGAUUGAGGAUGGAUUCGCGGCCUAUCAGCUUGUUGGUGAGGUAAUGGCUCACCAAGGCGACGACGGGUAGCCGGCCUGAGAGGGUGGACGGCCACACUGGGACUGAGACACGGCCCAGACUCCUACGGGAGGCAGCAGUGGGGAAUAUUGCGCAAUGGACGAAAGUCUGACGCAGCGACGCCUCGUGAGGGACGAAGGUCUUCGGAUUGUAAACCUCUUUCAGCAGGGACGAAGCGAAAGUGACGGUACCUGCAGAAGAAGCACCGGCUAACUAUGUG
rnacentral:rRNA from 1 species